rfam:Proteobacteria bacterium Nonnen-W8red strain MWH-Nonnen-W8red genome.
GGCUGUGCUGAUUGCGGCGGGGAAAUACCGGAUCCCAUUCCGAACUCCGAAGUCAAGCCCGCCUGCGGCAAUGGUACUGCACCUUUAGGUGUGGGAGAGUAGCUCUGUGCAGCCU